rnacentral:tRNA from 1 species
UGCAGGUGUAGCUUAGUGGCAGAGCACUUGCCUAACAUACGCAAGGGCCCGGGUUCCUUCCCUAGCACUGCAA